rnacentral:ncRNA from 1 species
GUUGCCGGUGUGCGCGGUCCCGGCAACGGCGUGGAAGUAAAUGCUUCAAUCGGCGGUGGUAUCCACGUAACAAAGCAGCCACUGCACACAAUCGACUAAGGAGA